rnacentral:lncRNA from 1 species
ACAUUUGCAAAAUUCUUCUUCCUCACAACCGACUCAGUCACCAUUCCCUCCUGCUACGAGCAAAAACCCUAGAUUCCUUUCUUUAUCUGCUUCAUGAAAAAAGAGGAAUUUCAAGAGCUCUUUUGAUUCAUUGAGCUUUCUUUGGAAGCUAAAGUUUCUAAAUUCUUUUUCUGUUACCUUAUUGUGCAUUAACUACUCAAGUUCACUGUAUUCUUAACAACCUUCUAACUUGUUCUAUAGAACAAGACAAAGAGAUGACAUUCUUGCGUUUGAAUUUUCAUCGACUAAUGCUUUCCAUCCUUGAAAAGCAUAAGAAUUUAUUGAUUAAUAUUUAUCUAUUCAAAUGUUUGCUUGUGUAUGUACAUAAUCAUGUGUAAGAGUACUGUUGAUUCUGAUCUCAUAUUUCAGUUGAGAUCCUGGGUUGUAGUUUUGUAUCAUUAAUCCUGUGGCUAUUAUAGUUAGAACUCUAACUCCCGAUGUAAUUUCCCUGAUAGUUGUAGGUAAUUUACACCAGAAAAGAGAACCUGUUUCUAGUUUCUUAAUGAGGUUUUGGAGAUUGAAAUUAGAUACAACGCCAUAAUUAAUUUAGGCAUCUCAUAUUUCAAUUGAGACAACAAGAAGUCACACUUCAAUAGAAUUAAGGGCAGAUGUCAUUUUCUCAGUAAGUUCAGUGGAAUAAAUUAAGAGUAGAAGUUGCAAGUCAACUAAAUUUAAGUGCAUAUAUUAUUCUCUCUCUAAUACACAAAGGCUAUAAAAUGUAUAAGCUAAAUAUUGGAAAUAUUCUGCUUUGAUAGAUUUAUGAAUUUAAUUAUACGACUCCAUGGGAUAAAACAAGCUGGUAAUGUGGUACUCAGUGUGGGAAUCUUCAAAAUCCGAUAUUUCUAACAAUAAAACACCUGUAGUACCCUAUUUACUGGCGUGUAUGUACACAUUUUUGGGAUGCAUACUGUUUUAUUUGUACUUUCUUAAACCGGGGAAUGUAAUCAUUUUUGUUUUUGUUGAUACAUCAGGGUGAACUUUCUUUUGAUAUGGAUUCGUCUAUUUGGGUCCACUUGAAAAUCAAGGUUUCAUAAUCUUACACUCUAAUUGGGUUUCUUCAUGAUUUUUUGGUAGAAAAAAGUGCUGACUGUCCUGACUUAUUUAGUUACAGAUGAAAGCAAUUAUACAGCAAGCACUUGGCAGUAUAACUUGUAUUUCAAUGCACGGCUUGGUAAGUUCACAUGUAUAGCUCUUUUAUUGUUCUUUUUGUUUGACAUAUCUCAUCUAUUUUAAUUCACAGGCGUGAUCGAGCAAGAUGCUUUAAAUGAGAUAUCUUGUCAGCAAGUUCUGAAGAUACUGAUGAUAUACUGAUGCUCCAGAGCCAAUUGGCCUGUACCGAUGAGAAAUUGUCUGAUAUGUUCUUUGCUGCAUUAGGUAAGCAACCUCCACUUCCAACCAAGAGGUUGUGAGUUCGAGUCUCCCCAAGAACAAGGUGGAAAGUUCUUGGAGGGAAGGAUGUCAGGGGUCUAUUUGGAAACAGCCUCUCUACCCCAGGGUAGGGGUAAGGUCUGCGUACACACUACCCUCCUCAGACCCCACUAAGUGGGAUUAUACUGGGUUGUUGUUGUUGUUGUUCUUUGCUGCAUUAAAUAAAAAGAUUGAUAACCUGGAUAGUGUGCUAAGGGCCUUAAAGGAUGAGAAUGAGCAGGUUUGCUUUUUGAAAUUAUCACAUGCAUGUUGUUAUCUAUUGUUCACUUAAGUCAGUUUCCUUAAUCAGUACAUCCUCUACUAAAUAUUUGGUGUGUACUUGUAUCCAUAGUGCUAGUGGAAUAGCCAACAUUGGAUGGCUUAUGUUAGGUGGAAAAAACCUG